GGAGGAAGGUUGCGACUUGCGAAGGCGAGGGAGAUGCAGAGCUCAGCGGCAGAUAUUCGAGAAGUCUGUAUGAGAAGAGAAGAGGAACCAAAGUCCAACCUAAUGCCCAAUGGACAUCUGAGAUUAAAUCUCAACCAAUCCAAUGGUCACCAAUUUUUUAAAUUUAAUUUAAUAUAUAAAUUCAAUAACACUUUUCAUAUAACAUAAGAUUUUGUGGUAUCCACUAGUGUAAAUAUUUUAAAUUGAAGAUCAAGUUCAUUCAUUGUAUUCAUAUAGGGUCAAGGAGUGUAACUGUAAAAAAAUAAUCAAAAUCGGAGUUAAAAUAACCGUUAAAUCGUGAUUUUUCGUUUAUAACCGUCGAAAAGUUUUGUCCCGUUACUUGAUCUCUGAAUGUUUGUUUUUUACGAUUUUUGGUGUAUGCAAUCUCGAAGCAUAUACAAACAAGUUUGACGUUUGGAUCGUUGAAAUUAGUUUCGUAGGAUGCGUAUAUCAUCGAAACGAUAGAUUCACUAGCACUUAGAGUUUAUUUAUACUUUCAUUAAGUAUAACAUAAGAUUUUGUGGUAUCCACUAGUGUAAAUAUUUUAAAUUGAAGAUCGAAUUUAUUCAUUGUAUUCAUAUAGGGUCAAAGAGUGUAGCUGUAAAAAAUCAUCAAAAUCGGAGUUAAAAUAACCGUUAAAUCGUGAUUUUUCGUUUAUAACCGUCGAAACGUUUUGUCCCGUUACUUGAUCUCUGAAUGUUUUUUUUUUGUGAUUUUUGGCAUGUACGAUCUCGAAGUAUUUACAAACAAGUUUGAUGGUUUGGAUCGUUGAAAUUAGUUUCGUAGGAUGCGUAGAUCAUCAAAACGAUAGAUUCACUAACACUUAGAGUUUAUUUAAACUUUCAUUAAGUAUAACAUAAGAUUUUGUGGUAUCCACUUGUGUAAAUAUUUUAAAUUGAAGAUCAAAUUCAUUCAUUGUAUUCAUAUAGGGUCAAGGAGUGUAGCUGUAAAAAAUCAUCAAAAUCGGAGUAAAAAUAAACGUUAAAUCGUGAUUUUCAUUUAUAAUCGUUGAAAAGUUUUGUCUCGUUACUUGAUCUCUAUCUCACUCAAUCCAAGUUUGACGGUUGGAUCGUUGAAAUUAGUUUCAUAUAAUUCGUAUCCCAUCUAGUUCAAUGGUAUAUAACUAUAUAUAUACAUAUUUAUUAAGUAGAUUUAAAUCUAUUUAUUUUGUAUGUAUAAUUGAUCGUUACACGGAGUAGUACAUCACAUGUCAUUAUAAAAAUAGUGGGAUAUGUGUGAUAAAAAGUUAAUAACUUAAAAAAUAAAAUUUCUCACCACUUCUAUUAAAACACAUGGUGUACUAUUUGUGCUCCCAUUACAAUAAAAAAUUUCUCAAGAAAAAAAGGAGAGAGGGAGGUAAAUGAGGUACAUGUGUUAGGAACACAGAUGUCGGAUCUUAUCCUAACAAGUGCACACUUGAGAGACCACGGUGAAAAACCCGCCCUACUAGUAGCAAGCAAAAUACCACUACACCCAUUUUCCCUCUUUUUUUUGUUUCCUUUUCUUAUAAUUUUCUUUUUUCCUCCUUUUUUUUUCUGAAAACUUUUUCCCUCCCUUUUUCUUCAAAGGGCGGAUGCAUAUUAAUUAUUAUAGUUUUUAGGGGUAUAAAAUUUAAUAAAUAUAUAUAUAUAU
rnacentral:lncRNA from 1 species